AAAAAAGUUUUUUUAAAAACUACCUGUAUUCACAUUUUCAGGCCGU
rfam:Bacillus infantis NRRL B-14911, complete genome.